rnacentral:rRNA from 1 species
AGAGUUUGAUCAUGGCUCAGGAUGAACGCUGGCGGCGUGCCUAACACAUGCAAGUCGAGCGGUAUACAUUGGAUUGAAACUUCGGUCGAAUGAAGAUGUAGAGAGCGGCGGACGGGUGAGUAACGCGUAGGCAACCUGCCCCAUACAGAGGGAUAGCCUCGGGAAACCGGGAUUAAAACCUCAUAAUGCGGAAGCUUUCACUUGGAGCAUCCGCCAAAGAUUUAUCGGUAUGGGAUGGGCCUGCGUCUGAUUAGCUAGUUGGUGGGGUAACGGCCUACCAAGGCGACGAUCAGUAGCCGACCUGAGAGGGUAAUCGGCCACAUUGGAACUGAGACACGGUCCAAACUCCUACGGGAGGCAGCAGUGGGGAAUAUUGCACAAUGGGCGAAAGCCUGAUGCAGCAACGCCGCGUGAGCGAUGAAGGCCUUUGGGUCGUAAAGCUCUGUCCCUGGGGAAGAAAAAAAUGACGGUACCCUUGGAGGAAGCCCCGGCUAACUACGUGCCAGCAGCCGCGGUAAUACGUAGGGGGCAAGCGUUAUCCGGAAUUAUUGGGCGUAAAGAGUGCGUAGGUGGUUUUGUAAGCGCGGGGUGAAAGGCAAUAGCUUAACUAUUGUAAGCCCUGCGAACUGUGAGACUUGAGUGCAGGAGAGGAAAGCGGAAUUCCUAGUGUAGCGGUGAAAUGCGUAGAUAUUAGGAGGAACACCAGUGGCGAAGGCGGCUUUCUGGACUGUAACUGACACUGAGGCACGAAAGCGUGGGGAGCAAACAGGAUUAGAUACCCUGGUAGUCCACGCCGUAAACGAUGAGCACUAGGUGUCGGGGCCGCAAGGUUUCGGUGCCGCAGUUAACGCAUUAAGUGCUCCGCCUGGGGAGUACGCACGCAAGUGUGAAACUCAAAUGAAUUGACGG